rnacentral:rRNA from 1 species
UGGCGGACGGGUGAGUAACGCGUGGGUAACCUGCCUCACACAGGGGGAUAACAGUUGGAAACGGCUGCUAAUACCGCAUAAGCGCACAGUACCGCAUGGUACAGUGUGAAAAACUCCGGUGGUGUGAGAUGGACCCGCGUCUGAUUAGCUAGUUGGCAGGGCAACGGCCUACCAAGGCGACGAUCAGUAGCCGACCUGAGAGGGUGACCGGCCACAUUGGGACUGAGACACGGCCCAAACUCCUACGGGAGGCAGCAUG